GACGAACGCUGGCGGCGUGCCUAAUACAUGCAAGUCGAGCGCAGGAAACUGACGGAACUCUUCGGAGGGAAGGCAGCGGAAUGAGCGGCGGACGGGUGAGUAACACGUAAGGAACCUGUCUCAAGGAUUGGGAUAACUCCGAGAAAUCGGAGCUAAUACCGGAUAGUUCAUCGGACCGCAUGGUCUGUUGAUGAAAGGCGCUUCGGCGUCACCUUGAGAUGGCCUUGCGGUGCAUUAGCUAGUUGGUGGGGUAACGGCCCACCAAGGGGACGAUGCAUAGCGGACCUGAGAGGGUGAUCGGCCACACUGGGACUGACACACGGCCCAGACUCCUACGGGAGGCAGCAGUAGGGAAUCUUCCACAAUGGACGAAAGGCUGAUGGAGCAACGCCGCGUGGGUGAUGAAGGUUUUCGGAUCGUAAAGCUCUGUUGUAAGGGAAGAACACGUACGAGAGGGAAGGCUCGUACCUUGACGGUACCUUACGAGAAAGCCACGGCUAACUACGUGCCAGCAGCCGCCGUAACAC
rnacentral:rRNA from 1 species